rnacentral:misc_RNA from 1 species
UUGUUGGAGAAGUUAUCAAAUGUUUAGGAGAAGAAGAACUGAUUCCAGGUAUACGAAAUGAGCUGUAUCCUGUGGUAUCAUCGUUUGGUUCUCCUGUCUACUUUUCGUUGGAACGUGCUGCAGCUCCUUUUUUUGGAAUAAAGGCCUAUGGAGUUCACAUGAAUGGAUUUGUUGAAAAAGAUGGGGAGAAAUUUCUAUGGAUUGGAAAGAGAAGCGAAGUGAAACCCACGUUUCCAGGGAUGCUAGAUCACCUUGUUGCUGGAGGACUGCCUUAUGGGAU